CUUUCUUCUCCUUACUUUUUCUCCAUCUUUCCUCUUCCUCUUUCUUGCUGUCAUGUGGCAGAGAAGACAGCCAAGUGCACUGGUUGCAUGGUGAAUAACAGAUGUUUUGCAUCUCCUCACCUAGGCUGGAAGAGGAAAAGAGAUAUACAGCAUGCCCACUAAUACCCAUCUCUCCAAGCGCAGCCUGGGAGCUGCCUUCAAGUGCUGGACCUGAUAAACUGCGGAUGACAUAUGGGCUCCUCCAUAGUCAUGGAAUCUCUGGGAAGAAGUUAUGAUACAUGAAAAUCCAAAAACAGCCAUCUGAGACCCAGCAGAUAUGUCAGCUGGCAGAGGCAAAGCUGUUGGGGGCUAUAUUUGGAUUUUGUAAGGUGCCAAAACACAGUCUACCAGGCUUCCAAUUGCUGCACAGUCUCGUGGUUCUGGGUGACUAAUUAACGUAUGCUGAUGGGCGUGUAGCCCUGUUUUACCAUGGCUUAACUUUG